ACUCAAAUGAAUUGACGGGGACCCACACAAGCGGUGGAGCAUGUGGUUUAAUUCGACAGUAAACGAAGAACCUUACCCAGACUUGACAUUCACAGAACUCGCUGGAAACAGUGGGGUGCCCGCAAGGGAAUUGUGAAACAGGUGCUGCAUGGUCGUCGUCAGCUCGUGUCGUGAGAUGUUGGGUUCAGUCCCGCAACGAGCGCAACCCUCGUCGUUAGUUGAAUUUCUCUAACGAGACUGCCCGGUAGAACUGGGAGGAAGGUGGGGAUGACGUCAGAUCAGCAUGGCCCUUACGUCUGGGGCUACACACGUGCUACAAUGGCGAGGACAAUGGGCUGCAAAUCCGCAAGGAGAAGCCAAUCCCUCAAAACUCGCCUCAGUUCGGAUUGAGGGCUGCAACUCGCCCUCAUGAAGUUGGAAUCGCUAGUAACCGCCGGUCAGCCAUACGGCGGUGAAUAUGUUCCUGGGUCUUGUACACACCGCCCGU
rnacentral:rRNA from 1 species